rnacentral:rRNA from 1 species
AUUGAACGCUGGCGGCAGGCUUAACACAUGCAAGUCGAGCGGAGUGAUGGUGCUUGCACUAUCACUUAGCGGCGGACGGGUGAGUAAUGCUUAGGAAUCUGCCUAUUAGAGGGGGACAACAUCUCGAACGGGAUGCCAAUAUCGCAUACGUCCUACGGGUGAAAGCAGGGGAUCACUUGUGACCUUGCGCUAAUAGAUGAGACCAAGUCGGCUUAGCGAGUGGGUGGGGUAAAGGCCUACCAAGGCGACGAUCUGUAGCGGGGCUGAGAGGAUGAUCCGCCACACGGGGACUGAGACACGGCCCAGACUCCUACGGGAGGCAGCAGUGGGGAAUAUUGGACAAUGGGGGGAACCCUGAUCCAGCCAUGCCGCGUGUGUGAAGAAGGCCUUAUGGUUGUAAAGCACUUUAAGCGAGGAGGAGGCUCUUUUGGUUAAUACCCAAGAUGAGUGGACGUUACUCGCAGAAUAAGCACCGGCUAACUCUGUGCCAGCCGCCGCGGUAA